rnacentral:miRNA from 1 species
UGUGUGUUUAUGUAUGUGUGCAUGUAAAUGAAUGUAUGUCAUACAUACAUACAUACAUACAUA